rnacentral:lncRNA from 1 species
GGUCGGGCGGCUUACCUUUAGGCCUACUGAUGAAGUCUUGGGGUCGGGAAGGAACAGACUCUGGCAGAAAGACUUAAGGCGCUAAGGCUUGGGCGGCAGCGAGGUCCAGCGGUGCUCCGGCGGCGGCGGUGCUUCUCUUGGAUAACAAGUAAGCUCUAGCACCGUGCGGAGGACACACGCGGCUGGAGGGUUGGGAAAAGAGGGCAUUGAGCGGAGAGGGAGGGUUCCUCAAGAGCUUAUGCGGCAGCGCUUGAGUGCGAAACAGAGG